CGAUGGCUGUGAUGAUCCUGCCACAUUGGCUCUCCUGAUGUAUAAACCAUGAAGGUUGUAUAGUCACUACCUCUUCUGACGCCAUCU